rnacentral:rRNA from 1 species
GCCUGAUGCAGCCAUGCCGCGUGUGUGAAGAAGGCCUUCGGGUUGUAAAGCACUUUCAGUCAGGAGGAAAGGUUAGUAGUUAAUACCUGCUAGCUGUGACGUUACUGACAGAAGAAGCACCGGCUAACUCCGUGCCAGCAGCCGCGGUAAUACGGAGGGUGCGAGCGUUAAUCGGAAUUACUGGGCGUAAAGCGUACGCAGGCGGUUUGUUAAGCGAGAUGUGAAAGCCCCGGGCUCAACCUGGGAACUGCAUUUCGAACUGGCAAACUAGAGUGUGAUAGAGGGUGGUAGAAUUUCAGGUGUAGCGGUGAAAUGCGUAGAGAUCUGAAGGAAUACCGAUGGCGAAGGCAGCCACCUGGGUCAACACUGACGCUCAUGUACGAAAGCGUGGGGAGCAAACAGGAUUAGAUACCCUGGUAGUCCACGCCGUAAACGAUGUCUACUAGAAGCUCGGAACCUCGGUUCUGUUUUUCAAAGCUAACGCAUUAAGUAGACCGCCUGGGGAGUACGGCCGCAAGGUUAAAAC